AGCUACGCAUCGCUGGGAAAUAAUUAUUCAUGGGUCUCCUACCGUUUUGUGCAUCUGUGAGCGAAAUACCGACUGUCCCUUAUCCUGGACUAUCUUUUCAAGGUUGUUAGUGUAGUAAAUAACUUUGGAAGAUGGAGACAGUGUUUCUCUUCAGAGUAAAGGGUGUCAGCUGUCUCUCUUCACAUCGGCCUGGGGAGAUAGGGCUUAGGAAAUUGGUGCACAGAUGCUGAUAUCUGACUACUGCUAUUGCUAAACCUGAGAACUUUCAACACUGGCAAACCAAAUGGAUGAUUCUGCCUUGUACAGAAGAAAAUCAAUAAACAUUAGCUCUUCUGAGGCAGACAAAUUACAGAAACCGCAAGUCCCACAGUGUUUCAUAAUUUUAUG